GAGCCCCGAGCUGGUGGCUUAGUAAUGUCAUCCAGAAGGGGGAAGACCAGACAAAGGCUGGGAUUGGUGAAGAAGCAGCAGUUGCUCAGAGGAGUCAGGACCCAGGAACACUGGGUGACUUUGGUGGUUGGGACAAGUUCCUGCUUUGUCCAUGUUCUGACAUGAUUAAGGAGUGGCCUUGUUUUUGAUUUAUCCCAUCCUGGUCACAGAGUGGCCUUGUCUGAUGUAAGGGCCCCAGGGAAUUGCCUAUGUUCAACAGGAGAGGGCCUGGCCUACUCCUGACGGAUGCCAUGGACUGCUUUUCUGUUUUAGGUCUCCUUUUGGCCAAGUGCAGACAAGGGCAGGCUAGAGGACAUUGAUCUGUGACAUCCACAUUUUCACCAUUGCCAUGGUUUUGUUGUUUGGGGAACACAGGCUGCAGUUGGAAUGCAGUAAACAUCUUCACGUUCAAUUUUAAAAAAUAAGUGGAUGAGGCACACUGGAGACCUGUAGAGCCCUGCUGCCCUGGUAACGUGGCACAGGAGGACCAGCCACGUUCCCAGGAACUGGACUCUGGAGGAACAUCCCAGGAAGCAGUCAGGAGCUGCAAUCUGAAGAACAAGACAGAAGGCUGAGAUGGCAGAAUAGCUAUGGAAAUUGAGAACCCUGGAUGCAUGGAAGAAAGGAAAACAUGCAGGGCAACAAACAGGUGGCUGGGAGCAGGAGAAAAGCAACGUGGGAGCUACAAAGGGGAGCAAGUUCUUAAGAAGAUGGUCUGUUAAAGGACAGUCGUGAAGACAUUGCCCAGUUCUUGUAGAAAGGUGGAAGGACUCAACAAAACAGCCACUGGGAACUGUUUGCGGAAAAGAUGAGUAUUUAGGUUCCUCCUGCGCUUUGGAGGGUCAAGAAUUCACUGCUCUAGAUUUUUUCGAGCCAUUAAGGGCAAUUUCUGCGGAGCUUGGGAACGCAGAGAGAGGCGCAUGAGGGCGGAUGGGAUGAGGGAGGCAUUGGCCCAGGGGUACUGUCGUGUAAUAAGGGAAGGCUUUAGUGCACAGACACCCAUGAUCCCUCCUUUGCACAUCUUCUUGAACCCUAGUCAUAACCUUCAAGUCAAAGACAAGCCCACGGGGGGAGGUUCCCUGCCACGAAUGGAGACAUCAGUGAUGGAGGAGCAACUCUAGGAACGGUGAUUUCCCAAGUCAGCAGUAACAUGGUCUUCCCCUCCCUUGCGUUUUCCCCAUUCCCGUUUUUCGCGAAAACGUACGUAUUUGAAUACCCAAGGUGCCGAAACGCAAAGCCGACCCGGGCUCACGAUAAUGGAAAUGACAAUUCUAAAGGAUUAAACUGUAGUAUUUGAA